rnacentral:rRNA from 1 species
UACGUAGGUGGCAAGCGUUGUUCGGGAAUUAUUGGGCGUAAAGGGCGCGUAGGCGGUUCGUUAAGUCAGUUGUGAAAGCCCGGAGCUCAACUCCGGAGAGUCGACUGAUACUGGCGGGCUAGAGUACGGAAGAGGUAGCUGGAAUUCCCGGUGUAGCGGUGAAAUGCGUAGAUAUCGGGGAGGAACACCAGAGGCGAAGGCGGGCUACUGGGCCGAUACUGACGCUGAGGAGCGAAAGCGUGGGGAGCGAACAGG